UGAAAUUACCACGGUGCUAUAUUUUCCCAAUUUUACCAGAAUUUUUCGAAAAAAUAUGGUAAAAUUGGGAAAAUAUAGCACCGUGGUAAUUUCAGACCGAAA
rnacentral:miRNA from 1 species